rnacentral:ncRNA from 1 species
UUAAAUCCUAAGGGGUGGCAUGUUUUAAAUGCCUGAGAUGCUAAGCGAACCCUUUGAACCUGAUCCGGAUGAUGCCGGCGUAGGAAUAGGACAACUCACAGAG